rnacentral:lncRNA from 1 species
CUCAAAGUCUGGCAUUGAGUCGCUCUCAUAUUCACAUUUCUGGUACGUGUGUAUGUGUGCAUUUGACAUACGAUUCAGAGAAGAAGCCACUUCAAAAGAGCGGUGACAUCUGGUUUGACUGCAAUUUCUGCAUCUUCUGUAAUCUUCACUGGUGUUUCACUAAAACUGUAUUUUUUUAAUUCAGUAAUUCAGCAUCUUAAAAAAAAUUGAUAAAUUCUAAAAUUGUUUCUGGGUAGGAUUUUGGUUUGAUGUAUAGAAAUGAGGGGGGCGCGGUGGUGCAGUGGGUUGGACAGGGUCCACCUCUCUGGUGGGUCUGGGGUUCGAGUCCUGCUUGGGGAGCCUUGCGGCGGACUGGUGUCCUGUCCUGGGUGUGUCCCCUCCCCCUCCGGCCUUAUGCCCUGAGUUGCCGGGUAGGCUCCGGUUCCCCGUGACCCCGUAUGGAACGAGCGGUUCAGAAAAUGUGUGUGUGUGUUUAGAUGCAUAACGGUUAAAGGUCACAAUGAAAAAAAUGCACGUUUUAUUCUUGCUCUUUUUACUCUUAUUGUUUUGCUGAUGCCUCUUUUUUUCAGGCACGUUCAAUACUAAGUUUCACAUGCUACAGCAAGCUGUUUACAGUAUUUUACAGAUUUCUACAGUUAAACACGCUGCUGUAUCCGUUCAAGCAGCUGCCAUUGUGUGGGAUGUGCGUCCACUCCAGAGAGUGACGGAAUCAGCGGCCUUCCUGACAUCACACCCAAGGGCCCAAGGACCGAAGGAACACGACUGCAGUGCGGACACCACCCUACACACAUUCGCACACGCACAUACACACGCUUCUCUGCCCACCACCCACACGGACAAGAGUGUGCGAUGGCAAUGACGCUCAAGGAUGGAGGCGGCAGUAUUUUCCAAACUUCUUUGCAGCCCUCUACCAAUCUGGCUUUCAGUUCAAUUGUUAUUCCGCCCACAACCAUUUGUACGUUGUCACUGCCAGCCUGCACUGCACCAGGCAGCCCUCCCUCUCCGC